UACGGGGGGGGGAAGCGUUGUUCGGAAUUACUGGGCGUAAAGGGCUCGUAGGCGGCCAACUAAGUCGGAUGUGAAAUCCCCAGGCUUAACCUGGGAACUGCAUCCGAUACUGUAUGGCUUGAAUCCGGGAGAGGGAUGCAGAAUUCCAGGUGUAGCGGUGAAAUGCGUAGAUAUCUGGAGGAAUACCGGUGGCGAAGGCGGCAUCCUGGACCGGCAUUGACGCUGAGUGAGCGAAAGCCAGGGGAGCAAACGGG
rnacentral:rRNA from 1 species